AGAAAAGUAAGCUAAAUUUAAGCUAAUGGAUUCAUACUCCAUAAAUAGAGAUCAUCUCUUUUCUA
rnacentral:tRNA from 1 species